rnacentral:rRNA from 1 species
AAUAUUCGACAAUGGGCGCAAGCCUGAUGCAGCAACGCCGCGUGCGUGACGAAGGCCUUCGGGUCGUAAAUCGCUUUUCGCGGAGACGAGCACGGACAGUAUCCCCGGAAGAAGGAUCGGCUAACUACGUGCCACCAGCCGCGGUAAAACGUAGGAUCCGAGCGUUAUCCGCAUUCACUGGGCGUAAAGCGCAUGCAGGCGGCCUCACAAGUUGGAUGUGAAAUCUCCCGGCUCAACUGGGAGGGGACGGUCAAAACUGUGCGGCUUGAGGGCGGUAGAGGAAGGUAGAAUUCCCGGUGUAGUGGUGAAAUGCGUAGAUAUCGGGAGGAAUACCCGUGGCGAAGGCGACCUUCUGGACCGUUUCUGACGCUCAGAUACGAAAGCUAGGGGAGCGAACGGG